ACUGCUCAGUAACACGUGGAUAACAUGCCCUAAGGUGGGGGAUAAUCUCGGGAAACUGAGGAUAAUACCCCAUAGGUCUGAUAUGCUGGAAUGCUUUUAGGCCGAAAACUCCGGUGCCUUAGGAUUGGUCUGCGGUCUAUCAGGCUGUAGUGGGUGUAACGGACCCACUAGCCCGUGACGGAUAUGGGCCUUGAGAGAGGGAGCCCAGAGAUGGACUCUGAGACAUGAGUCCAGGCCCUACGGGGCGCAGCAGUCGCGAAAACUUCGCAAUGGGGGCAACCCCGACGAGGGAAUUCCAAGUGCCAGCACUUUGUGUUGGCUGUUCUCCUGUCUAAAAAACAGGAGGAGUAAGGGGCGGGUAAGACGGGUGCCAGCCGCCGCGGUAAUACCCGCGCCCCGAGUGGUGGUCGAUAUUAUUGAGCCUAAAACGUCCGUAGCCGGUCUUCUAAAUCCUUGGGUAAAUCGGGCAGCUUAACUGUCCGAAUUCCGGGGAGACUGGGAGACUUGGGACCGGGAGAGGUCAGAGGUACUUCUGGGGUAGGGGUAAAAUCCUGUAAUCCUGGAAGGACCACCGGUGGCGAAGGCGUCUGACUAGAACGGAUCCGACGGUGAGGGACGAAGCCCUGGGGCGCAAACGGGAUUAGAUACCCCGGUAGUCCAGGGUGUAAACGCUGCGGGCUUGGUGUUGGGGGUCCUUAGUGGGCGCCCAGUGCCGGAGAGAAGUUGUUAAGCCUGCUGCUUGGGGAGUAUGUCCGCAAGGAUGAAACUUAAAGGAAUUGGCGGGGGAGCAC
rnacentral:rRNA from 2 species